GGCCAAGAGAUGUGUCUGCAGAUCAGAAAAAGGCAAGGGGAAAUGAUUGGGAAGAGGACAGACCUCAGAGCAAUCCAUAAAGAACUCAUGGAAAUGUGCUACAAACCAGAUGUGGAGCUGCUCCAGGAAUUAGGAGACAAACUGAAAUGUGAGCAUUUCAUUCAGCAGCGAGGUCAGCAGUCGGCACAUGAGGCCGCUGGACGAAGCGCGGAGGCUGAGGUACCGGCUCGCCGGCCUGGCCGGGCCUUCGGCCGCCGGGGCGCCGCGGUGCGUCGC
rnacentral:lncRNA from 1 species